UACGUAGGGUGCAAGCGUUGUCCGGAAUCAUUGGGCGUAAAGAGCGUGUAGGCGGCCCGGUAAGUCUGUUGUGAAAGUCCAGGGCUCAACCCUGGAAAGCCGAUGGAUACUGCCGGGCUAGAGUUCGGAAGAGGCGAGUGGAAUUCCUGGUGUAGCGGGUGGAAUGCGCAGAUAUCAAGGAAGAACACCAACGGCGAAGGCAGCUCGCUAGGACGGUACUGACGCUGAGACGCGAAAGCGUGGGGAGCGAACAGG
rnacentral:rRNA from 1 species